AACUGAUACUACCUGCGGGAACCUGCGGAGGGAUCAUUACCGAGUUAUCGCUCAAAACCCACUGUGAACCUACCGUAUUCGUUGCUUCGGCGGGCGGCCCCUGGGGGGGGCCCCGGGCCCUCGCGGUGCCCGCCGGCAGCACCUAGCUCUGUGUACUGUCUAGCUUACCGUCUGAUUGUGCUACAAGCGAAAACUAUAAAAACUUUCAGCAAUGGAUCUCU
rnacentral:misc_RNA from 1 species